CUCGCUUCGGGUGCGAGAGGUCCCGGGUUCAAAUCCCGGACGAGCCCUCCGCGAGGGGAGGGCGGGAUGUCCUCCCAUUUUGCCGGUGCCGUGUCCGCGGGCGUUUAUUAUUGCCGUGGCGGUGUCGGUGCCGGGGGGAAGAGGGAGCUGGGGAGGACAAAGGGAACAGCCUGCCGCGCUGGGAGCGCGCCUGUGCCUGCGGUGUUUUGGCAGCCCGCUUGUCGGCAAGGUGUUGCUUUACGGAGGAGAAGCCGCCGCGUGGGCUCUGCGGGCUGCAGAACAGCCGCCCUUGCUUGCACCGUCGCGCCGGCGUUUUGCGCACAGGAGUCGCUGGGAGGGGUAAAGGGGCAGUAAAACGGAACAUAUCUGUGCUUAUUAAUACUGUCCAUGCCCCUUUGUUUUCUGUGGUAGUUACAGCUGUCUGUGCAGUAAGCACAGAGAAGAAUAGCAGUUCGGCUCAACGGCUCAACCGCGCUUCGUAGAAAGGCGGGUUAAAAAAGGAGGGCUCGUCCGGGAUUUGAACCCGGGACCUCUCGCACCCUAAGCGAGAAUCAUACCCCUAGACCAACGAGCCGCCAUAAGAAAACAUUUCUCUCCGUUGCUGAGGAAGCACAGCGCGGUACCGCCUCCGCCGCCUCAGCCUCGCGCGGCGGCUGUUAACGGUCUGCUCCAACCGCUGCGGCGCUUUCCCGCGCCCGCGGCUUGCACCGUCGCUCGGUGAAGAGAGGGCAGGUGUCAGAUCGUGCGUCAGAAUUCGUAAUAGAGGUGAAAGAGAAACUGCUUGAAAACAAUGUUACAGAAAUGCCAAGUAGUAAACGGGCACUGUGCUUUGCGAUAGCCAAGCAUUUCUUAACUUGGUUCUGGCCUGUAGCCUGAUUCUUUGCCUCAGUCUGGAGCAAUGGAGGCAGGAGUUGCAGCCACUCUGCUUGGGAGGGCUUCACCCUCGCGGCUUCCCUCCCCCUGUCCCCCGAGGCAGUGGAUGGCUGUGACAGGCGGUCUUUUUGAGAUAGCUCAAGUAAAUCUCAACUCCACAACCUGUCCUACUUCUUCCAGUCAAUGCUCCUGGUUAUUCAUGAGGUACGUGCACUGUUACUGUGUGUGCUGUUGCUCUUGAGCUUUCUUCCAUUCACUAUUGCUAACCUAUCUAACCCUGUGUGUAAAAUCUGCUAAUAUGCCUAGCCAUUAACCGCAGCAGUCAAACCACAAACCCCAAUCAAAAGAAGAAAAAAAAUCAUUGUUCAUUUCCAUAAUUUAAAACUGUACCACACCUAAGCAGUGGUUACAUUGUUCUCCUGCUUUAACACGUGUUACAUUUUUAUGCAGACUUAUUUAAGUAUCAGUCUUCUUACAACAGACGCUGAUGUUGGUUAGGCUACAGUUCAGUCCUAUCUAGGGCUAUUGUCUCUGUACAGUAACAGUCUGUGAAAUGUUUGUUUCUAUUCCAAGAAACUGGUGAGAGGGUAGGAGGGAGAGACAGGAAAAAUAAUUGCUUUCAUUUUAUGGGUUUUUAUAUGUCAAGGUUAUCAAGAAUAUUUGUGGCUCAAGUUGUUCCUUAGCAUCAAUUCAGCACUGGAAUGCCUAAUCAUUAGUAUCUUUUUUUCAUUGUAAGCUUUCCUCAGAAUACUUCUCCUUGAGUAGUGGGUGAUCCAAGCUGUUCUUCCUAAGCUAAUUACAGAAGACAAAUCCUUAGAGAACUCUCUGAGUACCAUAUGUAAUUACUAUGCUGCCAGCUCUGGGUUUUGAAAGAACCAGUGCAUUUCUAUUUAACCAGAGUAAAUAUAAGUGUAGCAUUAGCUGCCAGUCACAACUUCUUCCCAACUUGCAGAAGAAAAAUUAGUCUCGCAAGAGACACACAAUGCUUUAUUUUACAAGUGGAGUCUCUCUGUUUUUCUUUCUCACUCAUUUUGCCCUCUCUUAUUAUUUCAAAAUGAGCACGUUAGGUGUUUUCUUUUUUUUGCCCCCCCACAGGAAUGCAUAUCCGCAUGCAGCUGUUCAACAUGUUCUACUGUACAAUUCCUUUAGGAGUGCUCACUUUUUAACUAUGUCUCAGAACAUGUCAUUUUAAAUUCACAUAAUCCUGGACCUGAAAAUUAAAGCAAGAGACUUUUCAGCUUCAAAACAAAAAGCUUUUCCCUCAGCUUCUUGCCAAAAAUAUAGGUAAAGAAAUGCAGUUUAAA